rnacentral:rRNA from 1 species
AUUUAUUAGAACAAAACCAACCGGCUUCGGCCGCUGGUUUGAUGACUCUGGAUAACUUUUCUGAUCGCACGGCCGAGCGCCAGCGACGUAUCUUUCAAAUGGCUGCCCUAUCAACUGUUGAUGGUAGGUGAUAUGCCUACCAUGGUUAUGACGGGUAACGGGGAAUCAGGGUUCGAUUCCGGAGAGGGAGCCUUAGAAAUGGCUACCACAUCUAAGGAAGGCAGCAGGCGCGCAAAUUACCCACUCUCAGCUCGAGGAGGUAGUGACGAAAAAUAACGAUGCGGGACUCUUUUGAGGCUCCGCAAUUGGAAUGAGUACAAUUUAAAUCCUUUAACGAGGAACGAUUGGAGGGCAAGUCUGGUGCCAGCCGCCGCGGUAACUCCAGCUCCAAUAGCGUAUAUUAAAGUUGCUGCAGUUAAAAAGCUCGUAGUUGGAUCUCAGGUACGGAUUUAGUGGUUGGAUUUAUUCCGAACCACUAAUUUCCACCUAAUCAGCCGCUUGUUACUUCAUGUGCUCUUAAUCGAGUGCUUGAAGUACUCGGCACGUUUACUUUGAAAAAAUAAGAGUGCUCAAAGC